rnacentral:lncRNA from 1 species
UGGCUGUCUGAUUAACAUUUAUUAAUGGAAAAUACUACAUGAAUAGUCAGCAUGAGAACACAUUGCAAAUAUGCCAAGGGGAAUGUUUGAACAGGAAGACAAAUUUCACCAACACCGAAUGGAAAAAUGUAUAGCCUAACCAUAAGUGACUUACAGAUCUCUGAAAAAAGAAGUUGUCCAUAUAUUUCCAAAAUGGUUUUAUAAACUUCUAAGCAUGGUAUUGUAGUUGUCUGUGUGUUAUUUAAAUUGUUUUACAAACUUUAAAGCAUAGUAUUGUAGUUGUCUAUGUAUUUUUU